rnacentral:rRNA from 1 species
GUAUUAGCUAGUUGGUGAGGUAAAGGCUCACCAAGGCGACGAUACAUAGCCGACCUGAGAGGGUGAUCGGCCACACUGGGACUGAGACACGGCCCAGACUCCUACGGGAGGCAGCAGUAGGGAAUCUUCGGCAAUGGACGGAAGUCUGACCGAGCAACGCCGCGUGAGUGAAGAAGGUUUUCGGAUCGUAAAGCUCUGUUGUUAGAGAAGAACGUUGGUAGGAGUGGAAAAUCUACCAAGUGACGGUAACUAACCAGAAAGGGACGGCUAACUACGUGCCAGCAGCCGCGGUAAUACGUAGGUCCCGAGCGUUGUCCGGAUUUAUUGGGCGUAAAGCGAGCGCAGGCGGUUCUUUAAGUCUGAAGUUAAAGGCAGUGGCUUAACCAUUGUACGCUUUGGAAACUGGAGGACUUGAGUGCAGAAGGGGAGAGUGGAAUUCCAUGUGUAGCGGUGAAAUGCGUAGAUAUAUGGAGGAACACCGGUGGCGAAAGCGGCUCUCUGGUCUGUAACUGACGCUGAGGCUCGAAAGCGUGGGGAGCAAACAGGAUUAGAU